UACGUAGGGGGCAAGCGUUGUCCGGAAUCAUUGGGCGUAAAGCGCGUGUAGGCGGUUCGAUAAGUCUGCUGUGAAAGUCCAGGGCUCAACCCUGGGAUGCCGGUGGAUACUGUCGGACUAGAGUACGGAAGAGGCGAGUGGAAUUCCCGGUGUAGCGGUGAAAUGCGCAGAUAUCGGGAGGAACACCAAGUGCGAAGGCAGCUCGCUGGGACGUUACUGACGCUGAGACGCGAAAGCGUGGGGAGCAAACAGG
rnacentral:rRNA from 1 species